rnacentral:rRNA from 5 species
GGGUUGUGAGGUUAAGCGACUAAGCGUACACGGUGGAUGCCCUGGCAGUCAGAGGCGAUGAAGGGCGUGCUAAUCUGCGAUAAGCGCCGGUAAGGUGAUAUGAACCGUUAUAACCGGCGAUACCCGAAUGGGGAAACCCAGUGUGACUCGUCACACUAUCAUUAACUGAAUCCAUAGGUUAAUGAGGCGAACCGGGGGAACUGAAACAUCUAAGUACCCCGAGGAAAAGAAAUCAACCGAGAUUCCCCCAGUAGCGGCGAGCGAACGGGGAGGAGCCCAGAGCCUGAAUCAGCAUGUGUGUUAGUGGAAGCGUCUGGAAAGGCGCGCGAUACAGGGUGACAGCCCCGUACACAAAAGCGCAUGUGCUGUGAGCUCGAUGAGUAGGGCGGGACACGUGGUAUCCUGUCUGAAUAUGGGGGGACCAUCCUCCAAGGCUAAAUACUCCUGACUGACCGAUAGUGAACCAGUACCGUGAGGGAAAGGCGAAAAGAACCCCGGCGAGGGGAGUGAAAAAGAACCUGAAACCGUGUACGUACAAGCAGUGGGAGCCCCACCACCAAAGCAUUCUCUGGUGUUGAAGGCCCUGCAAAGCAGCAUCGCGGUGGCGGAGCGUCGUUUGCGACGCCCAACACACAAAACAAGCGGUGAAUGCUUUGGGGUGGGGUGACUGCGUACCUUUUGUAUAAUGGGUCAGCGACUUAUAUUCUGUAGCAAGGUUAACCGAAUAGGGGAGCCGGAGGGAAACCGAGUCUUAAUUGGGCGUUAAGUUGCAGGGUAUAGACCCGAAACCCGGUGAUCUAGCCAUGGGCAGGUUGAAGGUUGGGUAACACUAACUGGAGGACCGAACCGACUAAUGUUGAAAAAUUAGCGGAUGACCUGUGGCUGGGGGUGAAAGGCCAAUCAAACCGGGAGAUAGCUGGUUCUCCCCGAAAGCUAUUUAGGUAGCGCCUCGUGAAUUCAUCUCCGGGGGUAGAGCACUGUUUCGGCUAGGGGGCCAUCCCGGCUUACCAACCCGAUGCAAACUGCGAAUACCGGAGAAUGUUAUCACGGGAGACACACGGCGGGUGCUAACGUCCGUCGUGAAGAGGGAAACAACCCAGACCGCCAGCUAAGGUCCCAAAGUCAUGGUUAAGUGGGAAACGAUGUGGGAAGGCCCAGACAGCCAGGAUGUUGGCUUAGAAGCAGCCAUCAUUUAAAGAAAGCGUAAUAGCUCACUGGUCGAGUCGGCCUGCGCGGAAGAUGUAACGGGGCUAAACCAUGCACCGAAGCUGCGGCAGCGACGCUGAUGCGUUGUUGGGUAGGGGAGCGUUCUGUAAGCCUGUGAAGGUGUGUCGUGAGGCAUGCUGGAGGUAUCAGAAGUGCGAAUGCUGACAUAAGUAACGAUAAAGCGGGUGAAAAGCCCGCUCGCCGGAAGACCAAGGGUUCCUGUCCAACGUUAAUCGGGGCAGGGUGAGUCGACCCCUAAGGCGAGGCCGAAAGGCGUAGUCGAUGGGAAACGGGUUAAUAUUCCCGUACUUGGUGUUACUGCGAAGGGGGGACGGAGAAGGCUAUGUUGGCCGGGCGACGGUUGUCCCGGUUUAAGCGUGUAGGUGUGUGUUCCAGGUAAAUCCGGUUCACUUUAACACUGAGGCGUGACGACGAGGCACUACGGUGCUGAAGCAACAAAUGCCCUGCUUCCAGGAAAAGCCUCUAAGCAUCAGGUAACACGAAAUCGUACCCCAAACCGACACAGGUGGUCAGGUAGAGAAUACCAAGGCGCUUGAGAGAACUCGGGUGAAGGAACUAGGCAAAAUGGUGCCGUAACUUCGGGAGAAGGCACGCUGACACGUAGGUGAAGUGAUUUACUCAUGGAGCUGAAGUCAGUCGAAGAUACCAGCUGGCUGCAACUGUUUAUUAAAAACACAGCACUGUGCAAACACGAAAGUGGACGUAUACGGUGUGACGCCUGCCCGGUGCCGGAAGGUUAAUUGAUGGGGUCAGCGUAAGCGAAGCUCCUGAUCGAAGCCCCGGUAAACGGCGGCCGUAACUAUAACGGUCCUAAGGUAGCGAAAUUCCUUGUCGGGUAAGUUCCGACCUGCACGAAUGGCGUAAUGAUGGCCAGGCUGUCUCCACCCGAGACUCAGUGAAAUUGAACUCGCUGUGAAGAUGCAGUGUACCCGCGGCAAGACGGAAAGACCCCGUGAACCUUUACUAUAGCUUGACACUGAACAUUGAGCCUUGAUGUGUAGGAUAGGUGGGAGGCUUUGAAGUGUGGACGCCAGUCUGCAUGGAGCCGACCUUGAAAUACCACCCUUUAAUGUUUGAUGUUCUAACGUGGACCCGUAAUCCGGGUUGCGGACAGUGUCUGGUGGGUAGUUUGACUGGGGCGGUCUCCUCCUAAAGAGUAACGGAGGAGCACGAAGGUUGGCUAAUCCUGGUCGGACAUCAGGAGGUUAGUGCAAUGGCAUAAGCCAGCUUGACUGCGAGCGUGACGGCGCGAGCAGGUGCGAAAGCAGGUCAUAGUGAUCCGGUGGUUCUGAAUGGAAGGGCCAUCGCUCAACGGAUAAAAGGUACUCCGGGGAUAACAGGCUGAUACCGCCCAAGAGUUCAUAUCGACGGCGGUGUUUGGCACCUCGAUGUCGGCUCAUCACAUCCUGGGGCUGAAGUAGGUCCCAAGGGUAUGGCUGUUCGCCAUUUAAAGUGGUACGCGAGCUGGGUUUAGAACGUCGUGAGACAGUUCGGUCCCUAUCUGCCGUGGGCGCUGGAGAACUGAGGGGGGCUGCUCCUAGUACGAGAGGACCGGAGUGGACGCAUCACUGGUGUUCGGGUUGUCAUGCCAAUGGCACUGCCCGGUAGCUAAAUGCGGAAGAGAUAAGUGCUGAAAGCAUCUAAGCACGAAACUUGCCCCGAGAUGAGUUCUCCCUGAGACUUUAGGUCUCCUGAAGGAACGUUGAAGACGACGACGUUGAUAGGCCGGGUGUGUAAGCGCAGCGAUGCGUUGAGCUAACCGGUACUAAUGAACCGUGAGGCUUAACCUUACAACGCCGAAG